rnacentral:lncRNA from 1 species
UCGACAACUUAAAUAUAAGCUUUGAAAGAUUUUGCAUUCAGUAUGACCGAGCAUACAUGGGUAUCUGUUCCAUCUAAUUAAUAUACUUAUUUCAGAUAAUCGCUUGGGAUAUCACUCUUGCUGCUUGUGAUACAAGUUAUAGACAAAUAAUUUGUCACUCUUAUGAUAAUUAGCUUCUAACUACUCUACACUGAUAUUGUUUAUUUUCUUAUAAAACAUGUAUAUAGCAUUGAGUUAGGAUACUCUCCAUUUCUCAUUCUUUCCAUUUCCUCCAUUAUUAUAUAGUUUUGGGAAUACAAAUGUAAAAAUAUGAUAUUAAGUGGGUCCAAAUACUUUUUGAUGACAGCAGUCAUUUGCUAAUUUUAAUUCCAAUUUUAGUGUUUUUAAUUAGUUUUUAGUAGUAAUUCAUGGUCAAAGAGAAGAAUAUUUAAAGAAAUUGACAUAGCAAGAAGUUNNNNNNNNNNNNNNNNNNNNNNNNNNNUCCCUUUUUAAUUGCACGUGAUUGUUCUUUGGGAGGAUAUAUAUAGAUGAGCUUUUUAACCUAAGGGGGACUAUUCACGCAGAGGCAUCACGGGAAGAAAAAAGGAUUACGGCUUUGACCAAAAGGAGAGAAGAAUUCUUAGUCUUAUUUCAAGGUGCUUUAUCAUUGAUUUAUUAUUAAUUGUUAUGUCAAUUAUUAUUAUGAGUAACUAAUCUCAUCAGAUUAGGGAUUUUAGAUGAUUCUCUGUAGAACUAUUUGAACCAUGUAACUACGUGUUCUUAUUUAUGCAAUCAAAACUAAUAGUUAUUCAGUUAAUUUUGUGUUUAAUGCUUUUCUUUAUUUGGCCAA